AAAUUGAUGAUUAAUUGCAACAUAUUCUUAGCUGCAGACAAGUUAAUUGACUAAAAGGAGGCAAGAAGUUUUCACGGAGUGAAAAGAACAGAGUUAAAAGAAAGGAGUCAAAGAAAGGAAGCUACGCUCCUACCAAAGAAUAAAAGAACACUCCCGUAAAAA